CUCGUGUCUAAUGUCACUGAAAUGUAAACAUGAUUGUGCUGCAAUUGUGGCCCACUUGUUAACUUCAACUGCGUGGAAAAUGUUAACGCAGGGCUGCUGUGUUUCCACAGGUACGUGUACUUACUGCAGCAGUCAAGUUGGAAGUGUUUCCUUUAAGAGUGAGGAUCAGAUAUCCCGUGGGGCAGCUAAGGGGCACGUUUUCAGUCCUUCAGUGUAGAGAAAGCUGCAAGAAUCUCUGUAGUAAAGCUAAGAGCGCCAGCAUCCCUAAGGUACUGGAUACAUGUAUUCAAAUUACAUUGUCUAGAAGUUUGAGGACUGUUGCAAAAUUCAGUAAAAUGUUUAAGUCCAGUGAUUUAAAGAUUUUUUUUCUUUUUGGUUUUUCAAGACAGGGUUUCUCUGUAUAGCCCUAGCUGUCCUGGAACUCACUCUGUAGACUAGGCUGGCCUCGAACUCAGAAAUCUGCCUGCCUCUGCCUCCCGAGUGCUGGGAUUAAAGGCGUGCGCCAUCCCUGGCUAAACAUUUUUUCUUUGGAGCAGGAGGAUCUCUCAAGUUACCCUAGGCUAGCCUAAUUCACUCUGUUUUAAAUUUUUUUUUUUCGUUUUUGAGACAAGGUUUCUCUGUGUAUCUCUGGCUGUCCCGAAACUCUCCCUGUAGACCAGCCUGGCCUGGAACUCAGUGAUCUGCCUGCCUCUGCCUCCAGAGUGCUAGGACCAAAGGUGUGCGCCACCACUGCUCCGCUGGCCUGAAACUCUUUAUAUAGCCUGGGCUGGCCUUAAACUUGCUAUCCUCUUGUCUCUGUCUCCUAAAGGGUGGGAUUACUGGUGCAAGGUUGGUUUUAGCCUCUUGAGCCGUGCGAUAAUUGCAGACAUUUAGGUUGUUUGAAUCAUCCUUCCAUGGUUGAUGAUGAAGCAUCUCAGCUCAUUUACACGAUGCUCAAUUCAGCCUGAGUCAAGGGAGUUCCAAAAGAAAAGGGGAAACGUAACUAAGAUGAUCCAAAGCACCCCCACCCACAUAGAUCUGCUAUAUAUCAGAUGCGACUCUGAUGCUUAAAGGGAUAUAUAUAUAUAUAUAUAUAACCUGUUAAGAGUCUUAGAAUUCCUGAAUAAACUAUUAAUGGAGCUGGCUGCUUCUUUGAGUUCAUAGCACCACUUUCAGGGACAAUGCAUGCUCAUUUGAUUUACUGCCAAGGCGUCCUUUUUGGGUCAAGUACCUAAAGAACAGGUGGACUAAUGACAAUAUUUGUUUUCAUUGUCGUGACAAUGUCUGCUGUCUCUCAGCCUGGCUGUGUUCUUUUCAGGAGACCAAUCUCUGAGCCUUUAUUUUUUAAAGGAUAAUAUUGAAAACUGAAAUUACAAAUGAAAUGCAUACAAUCCCUAAUUGGUUUUGGAAUACCAUACUUUGAAAAUCAUCUCUAAGUAAUGGGAUCUAUGUAUCACCAAAAGAUUUGACAGCCUUCCUACAUUGUUUAUCCUUUUAAAAAAUAUUUAUUUUAUGUAUAUGAGUACACUGUCACUGUCUUCAGACACACCAGAAGAGGACAUUGGACCCCAUUACAGAUGGUUGUGAACCACCAUGUGGUUGCUAGGAACUGAACUCAGGACCUCUGGAAGAGCAGUCAUCCACUGAGCCGUCUCUCCAGCCCCCAUUGUUUAUCAUUUUAAACAAGCUUACUAAAGACCUGUCUUAUCAUUUCAGAUUAAUAACAGGGUUGAAAAGUUACUCUCUUCUUGGUGUCUGAACCCAAGGAUGAACAGCAGAGGAGCAAGGCUGGGCCAGAUUAAACAACCAGGGAGAAGGAGCCACUGGCACUCUAGGGGCCUGUGCUGGUCUGCAGCACCCCUGCCUACAACCUAGAUGUGGCUUCUAAUCGAUGACAUGCAGAUGGCAGGAUCUGAGAUGUGCUACAGGUAUAGAGACAACAGGACUCUGAGGGUCUAAAACAAAAAGUUGUGCAAUAUCUCAAUAGGAUUUUUUUUUCUUUUCGAGACAGGGUUUCUCUGUGUAGCUUUGGCUGUCCUGGAACUCACUCUGUAGAUCAGGCUGGCCUUGAACUCAGAAAUCCACCUGCCUCCGCCUCCCAAGCUCAAUAGUUUUAAAUUGAUCACAUGUAUGGAUAUAUAUAUUAUAUAUAUUUCAAUUUCUUACUACAAAGUUGAAAAUUAUAUUAAUGUACCUAACAUUUUCUCUUGUCUCCAUGCCAUUAUAUUACAAAUUAAAAGAGUAAAAAAGAUCAGGCUGUAAUCUUUCAAAAGGUCUUAAUUUUCCACAAAAGGUGAUGCGGAAUUCAAAAUAAAAACCAAGGAAUGC
rnacentral:lncRNA from 1 species